rnacentral:rRNA from 1 species
UACAGGGGGUGCAAACGUUGCUCGGAAUUAUUGGGCGUAAAGCGCGCGUAGGCGGCUACCUAAGUCGGAUGUGAAAGCCCCUGGCUCAACUGGGGAAGUGCACCCGAAACUGGGUAGCUUGAGUGCAAAAGAGGAUCGCGGAAUUCCCGGUGUAGAGGUGAAAUUCGUAGAUAUCGGGAGGAACACCGGUGGCGAAGGCGGCGAUCUGGGUUGACACUGACGCUGAGGCGCGAAAGCGUGGGGAGCAAACAGG